ensembl:lncRNA
UGAAAGGUCACAGUUCAUGCAAGGUUGAAGACUGGCUUAGAGAAUUUUGAGCAUUACUUUGCUAGAGAGAUGAAUGCAAUUGUGCGGUAGAUUGAGCAUUCUUUGGCAUUGCGUUUCUUUAGGAUUGGAAUGAAAACUGACCUUUGCAAUGCUGUGGCCACUGCUGAGUUUUCUAAAUCUUCUGGCAUAUUGUGUGUAGCACUUUCACAGCAUCAUCUUUUAGGAUUUGAAAUAGCUCCACUGGAAUUCCAUCAACUCCACUAGCUUUGUUCAUAGUGAUGCUUCAUAAGGCCCACUUGAUUUUGCAUUCCAGGAUGUCUGGCUCUAGUAAUGUACCUGCUGCUGCUGCUGCUGCUAAGUCGCUUCAGUCGUGUCUGACUGUGUGCGGCCCCAUAGAUGGCAGCCCACCAGACUCCCCUGUCCCUGGGAUUCUCCAGGCAAGAACACUGGAGUGGGUUGCCAUUUCCUUCUGCAAUGCAUGAAAGUGAAAAGUGAAAGUGAAGUCGCUCAGUCGUGUCCGACUUUUCGCGACCCCAUGGACUGCAGCCUACCUGGUUCCUCCACCCAUGGGAUUUUCCAAAAAACCUAAGUAUUGUUGCUCUGUAAUCUGUAACUGCGGUGUUGGAGAAGAUUCUUGAGGGUCCCUUGGACUGCGAGGAGAUCCAACCAGUCCAUCCUAGAGGAAAUCAGCACUGAAUAUUCAUUGGAAGGACUGGUGCUGAAGCUGAAACUCCAAUACUUUGGCUACCUGAUGUGAAGAACUGACUUAUUGGAAAAGACGCUGAUGCUGGGAAAGAUUGAAGGCGGGAGGAGAAGGGGACAACAGAAGGGGACGACAGAGUUUGGAUGGUAUCACUGACUUGAUGGACAUGAGUUUGAGCAAGAUCUUUGAGUUGGUGAUUGACAAGGAGGCCUGGCAUGCUGUGGUCCCUGGGUCACAAAGAGUCGGACACGACUGAGUGAUUGAACUGAACUGAAUCUGCAGACCUCUGUAAUCAAGUGUUCAAAUAUUUUGAUAUUUUUGACAAUUCUGCCUUUCCCUUCCCGCAAGUCAAAUCCCAAAUAGAAUCUGCUUGUCCUUAAACUGAAAUUUACCAGAGAGCUCCUUGAAAACUUUAAAGGAUUUAUUCUUUCACCUUGUAAAUGUCUCUUUACAAUGUUAACGUUAAUUAGGUUUAUUUGAUAUUUUAAAUUGCAUGAAAAGAGUUGUCAAAUAAGAGAUACUUAACUUUCCCUACGUUUAUGUUGAUAAAGAUUAUUAAUGUAAGUUUUUGCUUGGUUUCCCAGACUUGAGAGGCAUUCAAAUGUCUAAUCUGAGAUUUCAUUUUAAAUGUUCCAGCAAUCAAACUUAAAAUAACCUGCAUGGUCAAUUACCACUAGUGCUGCACUUAAAUAAAUAGUGGCCAAAACUAAUGAGAUCAGAUUUAUUUUCAAACAACAGUUACCGUACAUUGGCUAUUUUUAAUCAAAAGGAGGGCGAACAUAGAAUUUUAUGUUUCAGUGGAAACCUAUAGCACUCCCUUAUAUUUUCCUCAACUGUUGUUCUACAAACUGAUAUUCUCAAUUAUUUCUCUCACCCUUCUGGCUCAGUGUCACUAGGAGUUAAGAUGGUCAAUAACCACAUGAAAAGAUGCUCGAUAGCACUAAUUAUUAGAGAUAAUAAAACUACAAAUAAGUACCACUUCACAGCAGACAUUAUGACCACCAUUAUAAAGUCCAUAAAUAGCAAAUGCUGAAAAAGAUGUAGGGAAAAAAAGGAACUCUCUUACACUGUUGAUGGGAAUAUUAAUUUGUAUAGCUACUAUAGAAAACAGUAUGGAUAUUCCUUCAAAAACUUAAAAUAGAGUUACCAUAUGAUCCAGGAAUCCCACUAUUGGUCAUAUACUCAGAGAAAACUAUAAUUUAAAAAGAUACAUGAAACCCUAUGUUGAUUGAAGCACUGUUUACAAAAGACAAAACCUGGAAGAGACAUAAAUGUCCCAGGACAGAUGAAUGAAUAAAAAAGAUGUGGUGUAUAUAUACAUACAUAUUAUACAAUGACAUACUUGGAGAAGGAAAUGGCAACACACUCCAGUGUUCUUGCCUGGAGAAUCCCA